rnacentral:rRNA from 1 species
GAUGAACGCUGGCGGCGUGCCUAAUACAUGCAAGUCGAGCGAACAGACGAGGAGCUUGCUCCUCUGACGUUAGCGGCGGACGGGUGAGUAACACGUGGAUAACCUACCUAUAAGACUGGGAUAACUUCGGGAAACCGGAGCUAAUACCGGAUAAUAUAUUGAACCGCAUGGUUCAAUAGUGAAAGACGGUUUUGCUGUCACUUAUAGAUGGAUCCGCGCCGCAUUAGCUAGUUGGUAAGGUAACGGCUUACCAAGGCAACGAUGCGUAGCCGACCUGAGAGGGUGAUCGGCCACACUGGAGCUGAGGCACGGUCCAGAACCCUACGGGAGGCAGCAGUAGGGAAUCUUCCGCAAUGGGCGAAAGCCUGACGGAGCAACGCCGCGUGAGUGAUGAAGGUCUUCGGAUCGUAAAACUCUGUUAUUAGGGAAGAACAAAUGUGUAAGUAACGAUGCACGUCUUGACGGUACCUAAUCAGAAAGCCACGGCUAACUACGU